GACGAACGCUGGCGGCGUGCUUAACACAUGCAAGUCGAACGGAAAGGCCCUGCUUUUGUGGGGUGCUCGAGUGGCGAACGGGUGAGUAACACGUGAGUAACCUGCCCUUGACUUUGGGAUAACUUCAGGAAACUGGGGCUAAUACCGGAUAGGAGCUCCUGCUGCAUGGUGGGGGUUGGAAAGUUUCGGCGGUUGGGGAUGGACGCGCGGCUUAUCAGCUUGUUGGUGGGGUAGUGGCUUACCAAGGCUUUGGCGGGUAGCCGGCCUGAGAGGGUGACCGGCCACAUUGGGACUGAGAUACGGCCCAGACUCCUACGGGGGGCAGCAGGGGGGAAUAUUGCACAAUGGGCGGAAGCCUGAUGCAGCAACGCCGCGUGCGGGAUGACGGCCUUCGGGUUGUAAACCGCUUUCGCCUGUGACGAAGCGUGAGUGACGGUAAUGGGUAAAGAAGCACCGGCUAACUACGUG
rnacentral:rRNA from 1 species